rnacentral:rRNA from 1 species
AGAAGGUCACACCCGUUCCCAUCCCGAACACGGUAGUUAAGCUUCUCUGCGCCAAUGGUAGUUGGGGGCUUCCCCCUGCGAGAGUAGGUCGCUGCCGGGC